UAUGGCGACCGGCGCACGGGUGAGUAACACGUAUCCAACCUGCCGAUGACUCGGGGAUAGCCUUUCGAAAGAAAGAUUAAUACCGAUGGCAUAGUUCUUCCGCAUGGUAGAACUAUUAAAGAAUUUCGGUCAUCGAUGGGGAUGCGUUCCAUUAGGUUGUUGGCGGGGUAACGGCCCACCAAGCCUUCGAUGGAUAGGGGUUCUGAGAGGAAGGUCCCCCACAUUGGAACUGAGACACGGUCCAA
rnacentral:rRNA from 1 species